GCCAACAUGGUGUAGUGGUUUGAAUGUUGGACUGUGGCUCAAGAGACAAGGGUUUGAUUCUCUGCUCCGGCA